rnacentral:lncRNA from 1 species
AAUCAGCCCUCUUGUUUGGUUGUUUUUUUUUUCUUUAGACUCUUUAAGAAAAUUACUAUUUCUUGAAUUUCUUUGUUUUUUUCUUAUAUUUCUUUAAGAGAUUUUCUUGUUUCCUAUUUAAGGGUCUCGAACAUCUUCAUGAAGUAGAUUUUUAGGGCUGUCUCUUCUUCUUCCUCUGUGUUGUGCUUUCCAGAUCUUGCUGGUGUGGAGUCCCUAGAUUCUGGUGGUGACAUAUUGAUCUUUCUGUUGAGUGUGCUGUUAUUCUUCCUUCUUCCCAUCUCUUCUUCUGGUGUGAGUUUUAACUAUGCUGUGAUAAUGUUUUUCAAUGCCUAUAACUUCCAGAUGGGCAUGUAAGCUGUUUCCAUAUACUGGCUUUUUUGAAUUGAGAAGCAAAGAAAGAGGAUGAGCAGAUAUCUCUGGCAUAGAGCACAGAGUUCUUUAGAAAUACCACAGAAUCAUUGGUUGAAAGAAGAGUCGCUUGAUCUAUUGGUACAAAGGAGAUAAUGAAUCACUAGUGCUUUAAAGCUAUGUAGAUAUGGAUAAGUUUAGGCCUCACUCCCCCUUAAAGAAACUUCUUUUUGCAACAAAUGGAGAACGUUACAGGAAGGUACAGCCAAUCAAAAACAAACUUCUGAUGGGUACAUCUAUAAAACAACCCAGCACCUAAGGUUCAAGAAACAAUGCAGAAUCAGUUCUUGAAACAGCUGCAAGAAUCAGAGCACCAACGAGUUUGCGGUGAGACUGUUUCAGAAGCUACACCCAUAGAGUCUCACCAAUAUUACCCCCUAAAUACGAGCCUUCAUGCAGCAGCUGGUGGAAGUAGAAGCAGACAUCACAGCUAAACCUUGAACUGAACUGAAAUCUAGAUGCAGAGAUUGAGGACCAAUGAGCAAAGGGGUCCAUACCAGGCUGGUGAAACCCACAGAAACAGCUGACCUGAACAAGGAAGAACUCUUGGUCCCCAGACUGAUAGCUGGGAAACCAGCAUGGGACUGAUCCAGACCCCCUGAAUGUGGG